ACGGCUCAGUAACACGUGGACAACCUGCCCUUAGGACGGGGAUAAACCCGGGAAACUGGGUAUAAUACCCGAUAGGUCUCGAUUGCUGGAAUGCAUCGAGAUUUAAAGCUCCGGCGCCUAAGGAUGGGUCUGCGGCCUAUCAGGUAGUAGUGGGUGUAGCGUACCUACUAGCCUACGACGGGUACGGGUUGUGAGAGCAAGAGCCCGGAGAUGGAUUCUGAGACACGAAUCCAGGCCCUACGGGGUGCAGCAGGCGCGAAAACUUUACAAUGCUGGCAACAGCGAUAAGGGAACCUCGAGUGCCAGGUUACAAAUCUGGCUGUCGAGAUGCCUAAAAAGCAUUUCAUAGCAAGGGCCGGGCAAGACCGGUGCCAGCCGCCGCGGUAACACCGGCGGCUCGAGUGGUAACCGUUAUUAUUGGGUCUAAAGGGUCUGUAGCCGGCCGGAUAAGUCUCUUGAGAAAUCUGGCAGCUUAACUGUCAGGCUUUCAGGAGAUACUGUCUGGCUCGAGGCCGGGAGAGGUGAGAGGUACUUCAGGGGUAGGGGUGAAAUCUUGUAAUCCUUGAAGGACCACCAGUGGCGAAGGCGUCUCACCAGAACGGACCUGACGGCAAGGGACGAAAGCUAGGGGCACGAACCGGAUUAGAUACCCGGGUAGUCCUAGCCGUAAACGAUACUCGCUAGGUGUCGGCCACGGUGCGACCGUUGUCGGUGCCGUAGGGAAGCCGUGAAGCGAGCCACCUGGGAAGUACGGCCGCAAGGCUGAAACUUAAAGGAAUUGGCGGGGGAG
rnacentral:rRNA from 1 species